AGCUCGUAGUUGAAUCUGUGUGCCACACUGUCGGUUCACCGCUCGCGGUGUUUAACUGGCAUGAUGUGGGACGUCCUACCGGUGGGCUUAGCUUCCUCGCGGAGGYGGUCCAACCAAUCUCCCAUCGCGGUGCUCUUCACYGAGUGUCGAGGUGGGCCGGUACKUUUACUUUGAACAAAUUAGAGUGCUUAAAGCAGGCUGUCCUCGCCUGAAUAUUGUGUGCAUGGAAUAAUGGAAUAGGACCUCGGUUYUAUUUUGUUGGUUUUCGGAACCCCGAGGUAAUGAUUAAUAGGGACAGAUGGGGGCAUUCGUAUUGCGACGUUAGA
rnacentral:rRNA from 1 species